UAUAAAUUGAGAAAAAUUAUUGUAGGUAGUAAAAAGAAUAAUAACAUCUAACAAAAGCAAAAUGAAAAUUAUAUAACAAGUUAUAUUACUUUAAGAGAAGAUAAUUGAAAAGUUGCUUAAAUGCUGUUUUCGACAAAUAAGUUUUGUACUGUGGCGCUCCUCAAAAUUGGCGACAAAAAAGAAGAAAUUCGUACCCUCACUACUGAUAUCCAUAUUAUGCUAGAAUGGGAUAUGUUUGUCGCGUGAAGUAGCGAUAAUUUGCUUGUUUGUUUACGUAAAUAGGUAAUGCCUAGAUUUCAGAAGAACAUAUUUAAUUUUUUAUUUUCAUGAUGAAAGGUCAAAUUAAAAUUCCAAUUUAAUCAUCGAAUGACUAUCGGUCGUUAAUAUUUUUUAUUCAUUUAUCAAUUAAAAACAACAUUGAUUAUAUUUAUUAAAGCUUCAAAUCGCGGGAACAGAAUGUUUACAAAAUUAUCUUUAUUACAAUACAUUUAUAAAUUUAGUCACAUUUUUAACAUAUAAUAAAAUAAGAAAAUAGGAAAUGUCUAAUAAAUAAUACAGGUCAUUUUAUUUAUAUAUUUCUUUUUUUGUUUUGUUUUCAAUAUAUAUUCGAUCGAUCAGCUAAGAAAAAGCGAUAGUUUGCAGUAUAAGAGGUACAAAGGGAUUAUGAAUCAGUGAAAAUUAUUAAUGACGGUAUAGUAAUGUUUGCCUCUUUAUCAUCUUUGCAUUAUUGUAUGACGAUUAAAUAUAAAUAAAUUGAAAUCAAUCGCGAUAGCACAAGCAUGGACGAUUACAAUGGUACUGUUUACAAUGCAACGAUUUAAUCUCGGCGAAUUUUUUACACUACGCGUUAUUAAAAUGUAUCAACAAAGUGUGCUUCAAAAGAUAAUAUUGAAGCACAUAGCAUUGCGACAUUAUGAGCGAAGAUCUUUUUCAGAUCAUAGAAUGAUUGAAAAUUUUCAUAUCAUAGAAUGAUUGAAAUUUUCAGAUCAGAUCAUUAGAAAUCGAUCUAUAAUUGCUCUUACGAAUGUAAAAAGAUCUUUAGAAAGCAACGACGUUGUUAAAUUUUUGCUGCAAACUAUCCUUGCGAAAAUAGCACAAUUCACGCGCACACGCACACACACAUAUAUAUAUAUACAUACAUAAAUUUUAUAUAUAUGUAUUUAUAUAUAUAUUUAUAUAUAUAUAUAUAUUUAUACAUAUAUAUAUAAUAUAUAUAUUUAUACAUAUAUAUAACAUAUUUCUCUCUUGAAAUUUUUUUGCCAUCCUCGCUUGAGUCCAAUGGACGUUAUUUCCAAUAGAUUUCUAUCUAAGAAAUGCCGAGUAUUCGGCUACACGAAUUUACAAAUUCGUAUUCCACAUCUUAAGAAUAAAAACUUAAGAAUCGAAAUUUGUAAUCGAUCAAUAUUUGCAAAGUCUAAUGAUCCUCGUGUUCCUAGAUUCUUCAACUAUAUAAAAUAUAUUUCAUCGAUACAUCUCGCUAACUCCAAUCGAAAUCCAAUUAUUCGAACUUUCAAUCUCAAUUACACAAUCUUAUUGGAUACUUGUAUCGUUAAAUAUUUUCGGCUGUAAAAAUAAUAUUAUCAUAAAAGUUUAAGAGACCAUUCGCUAAAAAGCACACUUCGAACGUUCUGAAUAUUACUUCGAUUAUAUAUAUAUAUUACAUAUAUAUUUUAUAUUAUAUGUAUAUAUAUAUAUAUAUAUGUACUUUC